rnacentral:rRNA from 1 species
UUCCGGUUGAUCCUGCCGGAGGUCACUGCUAUUGGGAUUCGGCUAAGCCAUGCAAGCGGAGGGCGCGGUCGAAAGAUCGUGGCCCCACACACUGCUCAGUAACACGUAGUCAACUUACCCUUGGGACGGGGACAACCUCGGGAAACUGAGGCUAAUCCCCGAUAGGUGAGGGACGCUGGAAUGCCUCCUCGCCCAAAGCUCCGGCGCCCAAGGACGGGACUGCGGUCUAUCAGGCUGUUGGUGGUGUAACGGACCACCAAACCUACGAUGGGUACGGGCGAUGGGAGUCGGAGCCCGGAGAUGGGGACUGAGACAAGGCCCCAGGCCCUACGGGGCGCAGCAGGCGCGAAAACUCCGCAAUGCGCGCAAGCGUGACGGGGGAAUCCCAAGUGCCGUUGGUCUUAUGAUCGACGGUUUUUAGGAAGUCUAAGAAGCUUCCAGAAUAAGGGCUGGGCAAGACUGGUGCCAGCCGCCGCGGUAACACCAGCAGCCCAAGUGGUGACCACGAUUAUUGGGCCUAAAGCGCUCGUAGCCGGAUCAGCAAGUCCCUUGUGAAAUCGGGCCGCCUAACGGUUCGGCGUGCAAGGGAUACUGUUGGUCUUGAGGCCGGGAGAGGUCGGAGGUACUCCUGGGGUAGCGGUGGAAUGCUCUAAUCCUAGGGGGACCACCAGUGGCGAAGGCGUCCGACCAGAACGGACCUGACGGUGAGGGGCGAAGGCUAGGGGAGCGAACGGGAUUAGAUACCCCGGUAGUCCUAGCUGUAAAGCAUGCGGGCCAGGUGUCUAGCGCUCCUUGAGGGCGCUAGGUGCCGGAGGGAAGCCGUUAAGCCCGCCGCCUGGGAAGUACGGCCGCAAGGCUGAAACUUAAAGAAAUUGGCGGGGGAGCA